rnacentral:sRNA from 1 species
ACCUAGCCCCGAUAGCAGUGAAAAUCCUUUUACUUUUUUCUUUAAAAAAGUAAAAGAUUGAAACGAAUAGCGGGAAAUAGC